rnacentral:rRNA from 1 species
AGUGAUUGUUAAGGAUGCCUAGCAAACAUUUAUAAAAAGGAGGGGCAAAAACCAAAAGCUAUUAAAUAUCUCUUUUUAUGAGACGGACAGCUAGCCUAGUGAUAGGACUAGACUUUCGAAGUACAUUAAUAGCGAUCCUAAGGGAAACCAAAAGAUAUAACACAGUGAACUGAAACAUCUAAGUAACUGUAGGAAAGGAAAUCAACCGAGACUCCAUGAGUAGUGGCGAGCGAAAAUGGACUAGCCAAUUAUUAUAACUUAUUGUAGAAUGAUCUGGAAAGAGCAAUCCGUAGAAGGUGAUAGCCCUGUAUACAGAGUUGAUUAAUAUAUAAAGUAAAGCGGAAGAAAAUCUGCUUGAAGUGGGGAACCAUCCUCAAAGGCUAAGUAUAAAUGUUUAGCGAUAGCGUAGAGUAACGUGAGUGAAAGGUGAAAAGUAAGUCGAUGACUGUUGAAAUAGAUCCUGAAUUAGUAAUCAUAUAAGCAAUUAGAGCUUAUUCUAUUCUUCUAAGGAAGUAAUAAGAAAGUAAUAAUGUACCUUUUGUAUAAUGGGUCAGCGAGUUAAUAAUGGUAGCAAGGUUAAGAACCCUAGCGAAAGCAACUGACAUAUGUGCGGGAAUAGUUACUAUUAUUACACCCGAAACCCGGUGAUCUAUCCAUGAUCAGAUUAGUAAUUAGAUCGAAUGGUUGAAUGUUGCAUUAUUCUCCAAUGAAUCGUGGAUUGUCGGCGAAAGGCCAAUCUGACCGGGAGAUAGCUGGUACUCUCCGAAACAUAUUAAAGUAUGACUCUCUGAAUUAGAUUUAUGCUGGUACAGCACUGAUUAUCAUAUUUACUUUUGUAAAUUGAAUUGGGGGGUCGUGAAGACUCUAUCAUUGAUAGUUAGCCUCGGAAUAACAUAAAUUGAUACAGAGAUUUCAGACUAUUCAUGAUAAGGUGGGUAGUCGAGACGGAAACAGCCGUGAACAUAGAAUAAGGUCCCAAAAUGAUGGUUAAGUGAAAAAAAGGCAGUUGUAGUUCUUAAACAACUAUAAGGUGAGCUUGGUAGUGGCUAUCCUUUAAUAAAAGUGUAACAACUUAGUAGUCUAUUGAACUAUGGCACCGAAGAUAUACGGGCCUAGACCAUCUACCGAAACUAUGUCUAUAUAGUUAGUAUGAAUUUGAUCAUUAAUGACAUGCAAACAACCUUUCUAAUUCAUAUACAUUCAAUAUAAAUAUAAAUAUAAUUUAUUAUAUAUUUAUGUAAAAAUUUAUAUUAAAUCUAUAUGCGGAAGAAAGCAAGGAUUCUUACAGAACAUAUUAGGGUAGGAGAGCAUUCAGUACGAAUGAAGAGUAGUGUUACAUUACUUGGACAUAACUGAAGAGAUUAUGCUGACAUGAGUAACGUAAAAAGAAGUUAUAAUACUUCUCGCCGAAUGCGAAAGGGUUACAAAGAAAUGUUAAACAGCUUUGAUUUAAAACGGCCUCUAAGACGGCUGGCUAAUGUUAGUUGUUGAUGAGUUUCAGUUAGAAAGUCUUUGACCAAGAAAAAGAUAUGACGAUCAGUAUAUUAAUCUAGAUUAAUAUGCUUUAUGUACACAAGACAUAAAUUAAAUAUUUAAUAAUUAUUUUUUAUUAUAAUAAGAAAUAGUAAUUAAUAUUCAAGGAUUAUUUGAGUUACCGUACCUUAAACCGACACAGGUUCGCAGGUAGAGAAUACUAAGGCGUAGAGAUAAUACAGAUUAAGGAACUCGGCAAAAUGCGUUCGUACGUUUGACAAUAAGAACGACCGAAAGGUGGCACAGAAUCGUGAGGCACAACUGUUUACCAAAAACACAGGCAUCUGCUAUGUAUAACAACAUUGUAUAGGUGCUGAAUCUUGUCCAGUGCCAUUAGUAUAAUAUUGGUAAUGUAAAAAUUUAUUAAUAGAAAACCUGGUAAACGACAGACUUAACCAUAAGGUUUUUAAGAGUAGCGAAAUUCCUUGGCCGUUAAAUGCGGUCCUGCAUGAAUAGAGUAAUGAUGCUUCAGCUGUCUCAAUCUGUAUCUCAGUGAAAUUGAAUUAGCCGUGAAGAUGCGGUUUAAAUGUGGCUGGACGGGAAGACCCUAUGCAGCUUUACUAUAACUAGUUAUUAUUUCCAUUGGAGAGUAUAAUAGAGUAGGGGGUAGUCGCUAAGACGCAGGUGAAACACCCUUAAAUAUCUACAAUGGUAAUUGACCUUUAGAAAAGUGACUAGCGGGUAGUUUAACUGGGACGGUUUCCUCCAAUAGAGUAUCGGAGGACUUCAAAGGUAUGCAUUAUAUUAGAUGGAAACUAAUGUGAUUAUGAAAUAACAAGAUAAGAUUUAAAGGUUUAAGCAUGCUUAACUGCAAGACUGAUAAGUCAAGCAGAUACGUAAGUAGGACUUAAUGAACCGGUGAUAUUAAAUGGAAAAGUCAUCGAUCAAGAAAUAAAAGUUACGCUAGGGAUAACAGGCUGAUAGCCCACGAGAGUCCAUAUUGUCUGGGCUGUUUGGCACCUCGAUGUCGACUCAUCUUAUCCUCUUGGUGUAGUCGCUAAGAAGGGUCCGGCUGUUCGCCGGUUAAAAAGGUACGUGAGUUGGGUUCAAUACGACGUGAGUCAGUAUGGUUCCUAUCUUCCACAUUAAAGAAUAAUCAUAUUUUAGAUGGCCCUUUAGUACGAAAGGACCGAGGUUUGCGUUCCUCUGGUGUACCAAUUGUUGACAUAUUAAGUUGGCACCGUUGGGUAGCUAUGAACGUUAAGAAUAAAAGCUGACAGCAUAUAAGCUAUUGAAGUCUACUAAAUGAGAUUAUAAAGCGUAUAUACGCAAGGUAAGAGAUAGACUAUCUCUCAAUAGGUCACGUGUAUAAGCAUCGUAAUAUGUUAAGCUUAGUGAUACUAAUUUACCUAUUUACUUACAC